AUUGAACGCUGGCGGCAUGCCUAACACAUGCAAGUCGAACGAGUGGCGGACGGGUGAGUAACGUCUGGGACACUGCCUGAUGGAGGGGGAUAACUACUGGAAACGGUAGCUAAUACCGCAUACCAUCGGAUGUGCCCAGAUGGGAUUAGCUAGUAGGUGGGGUAAAGGCUUACCUAGGCGACGAUCCCUAGCUGGGCUGAGAGGAUGACCGGCCACACUGGAACUGAGACACGGUCCAGACUCCUACGGGAGGCAGCAGUGGGGAAUAUUGCACAAUGGGCGAAAGCCUGACGCAGCAAUGCCGCGUGUAUGAAGAAGGUCUUCGGGUUGUAAAGUACUGUCAGCGGGGAGGCGUUACCCGAAGAAGAAGCCACGGCUAACUCCGUGCCAGCAGCCGCGGUAAUAC
rnacentral:rRNA from 1 species